rnacentral:lncRNA from 1 species
CGGAGCCACUGGACAGUGGCCUCUCCCAGGGUGUAAGCCGUACACACAGGGAGCACAUCUGUUCUCACCUUUGCACCCAGAAUUUUAGUCCAAGCUCCAAACCUGAAGUCCCCUGAAGCAGGAGCGAAUGCUGGUUUGCAGUUGAGCUGCAUCAUACACGAGCAGUGCAGUGAGGUGAAACAUACCAGGAGUUUUAAAACAAUAACCCAGAGGAGUCAUGUUCUGGAGCAGCCCUGGGCGGCCAGCUGGGAAAGACAUCACAGUGAAGGCUGAGAAGCGUGUUUACGAAGCGGGUAGUUUAACCUCCUCCGUGCCCGCGGGUGGUGUGUCUAGACGCGUCCCACGCUGCCAAGACUUCCAGGACCCUGAUUGGCGAUGGCUGGCAGCUUUCUCACCCUGGACGUGCCGUCAUUUCCUUGUUUACAUGGUUUCUUG